CCUACGGGCGGCAGCAGUGGGGGAUAUUGCGCAAUGGGGGAAACCCUGACGCAGCAACGCCGCGUGUGUGAGGACGUAUCUCGGUAUGUAAAGCCCUAUCCGCGGGGGAGAAAGAGGACGGUACCCGACUAAGAAGCCCCGGCUAACUACGUGCCAGCAGCCGCGGUAAUACGUAGGGGGCGAGCGUUAUCCGGAUUUACUGGGUGGAAAGGGAGCGUAGACGGGGGAGCAAGUCUGAAGUGAAAGCCAGUGGCUCAACCGGGGAACCGCUUUGGAAACUGCGAGGCUGGAGUGCUGGAGAGGUAAGCGGAAUUCCUGGUGUAGCGGUGAAAUGCGUAGAUAUCAGGAGGAACACCAGUGGCGAAGGCGGCUUACUGGACAUUUACUGACGUUGAGGCUCGAAAGCGUGGGGAGCGAACAGGAUUAGAUACCCUUGUAGUC
rnacentral:rRNA from 1 species